GAUGAACGCUGGCGGCGUGCCUAAUACAUGCAAGUCGAGCGAACAGACGAGGAGCUUGCUCCUCUGACGUUAGCGGCGGACGGGUGAGUAACACGUGGAUAACCUACCUAUAAGACUGGGAUAACUUCGGGAAGCCGGAGCUAAUACCGGAUAAUAUAUUGAACCGCAUGGUUCAAUAGUGAAAGACGGUUUUGCUGUCACUUAUAGAUGGAUCCGCGCCGCAUUAGCUAGUUGGUAAGGUAACGGCUUACCAAGGCAACGAUGCGUAGCCGACCUGAGAGGGUGAUCGGCCACACUGGAACUGAGACACGGUCCAGACUCCUACGGGAGGCAGCAGUAGGGAAUCUUCCGCAAUGGGCGAAAGCUUGACGGAGCAACGCCGCGUGAGUGAUGAAGGUCUUCGGAUCGUAAAACUCUGUUAUUAGGGAAGAACAAAUGUGUAAGUAACUAUGCACGUCUUGACGGUACCUAAUCAGAAAGCCACGGCUAACUACGUG
rnacentral:rRNA from 1 species